GACGAACGCUGGCGGCGUGCCUAAUACAUGCAAGUUGAGCGCUGAAGGUUGGUACUUGUACCAACUGGAUGAGCAGCGAACGGGUGAGUAACGCGUGGGGAAUCUGCCUUUGAGCGGGGGACAACAUUUGGAAACGAAUGCUAAUACCGCAUAAAAACUUUAAACACAAGUUUUAAGUUUGAAAGAUGCAAUUGCAUCACUCAAAGAUGAUCCCGCGUUGUAUUAGCUAGUUGGUGAGGUAAAGGCUCACCAAGGCGAUGAUACAUAGCCGACCUGAGAGGGUGAUCGGCCACAUUGGGACUGAGACACGGCCCAAACUCCUACGGGAGGCAGCAGUAGGGGAUCUUCGGCAAUGGACGAAAGUCUGACCGAGCAACGCCGCGUGAGUGAAGAAGGUUUUCGGAUCGUAAAACUCUGUUGGUAGAGAAGAACGUUGGUGAGAGUGGAAAGCUCAUCAAGUGACGGUAACUACCCAGAAAGGGACGGCUAACUACGUG
rnacentral:rRNA from 1 species